rnacentral:lncRNA from 1 species
GGAGAUUGUAAAGAAGAUGACCCUGAACUUGGAGUAUUUGAAGGGAUGGAGGAGCUCAGCAGCUGCCAUCACCCUCAGAAGAGAACUGCUGUCGCCUAGGUGCCCCUAACUUGCAGGUUCUCAUAGAAGCAUAUGUCCUCCAAACCACUGUGUAUUCUACACUAAAGCACUUUGAAGAGAAGUGCAGAACUCACCACACACUUCCAAAGGAGACCCCACAGAUUGGAAUAUAGCGGC